rnacentral:lncRNA from 1 species
CUUCCAAGGCUAGUGACCAACCCAGCACUGUGGAGCAAGGACAUCUUGAACAACUCUCCUACCACGAGAGCGUUUUGACAUCCCAGAGUGGCGAUCACACCUACAGCCCGCCCACCCGCUUUAGUCCCCUGCCUUGCUACGUAGGAAGGAGCACGCCCAGGCUGGAGGCCCCAGAGCACCUUGGGAAGAGGGGAGUAGGGCUGAGACUCAUGCUCCCACCUUCGCUGCUGAGUUUUGCCCUACACUCCUUCUUGAGGUGACCCCAAGAUCCAGCUAAUUGUUUUCCCCAAAGUGCCUGACCUGCGUGAGACUUAGAGGUCUAGAUAUGUCACAACCAAUCUCCAUGUUCCCCCAAAGGACUGUUAUUCUCGAGCCCUGUAUAAAUCUCUGUCCACAUGUGACCAGGGGGUCAGUCCUCUCUUCAUUCGGUCUUGGAAAAAAAAAGAACUAAAAUUUGAUGGCCAUCAAAACCGAACCCCUGUCAUUUCUUAAAUAUGGGACUUGGAAGCAUAUUCCUAAGUGUCUGAGUCUC